GAAGCAGGAACCCGGCACCGCUGGCGCGGGUCAGACCGGGACCGCCGCCGGGCAACCGGCGGCUGCC
ncrna:unclassified sequences Transposase-2 RNA